AACGCAAAUUGCACUUUCUGGUAUUCCGGAAAGUAUGCCUGUUUGAGGGUCAAUUAAAUAAAAUCGGGCGUUUUUACUGUCCGGAAUUGGGUCGUCAUAACUUCGGUUAAGUGACUUAAAAUUUUGUAUGAUUUUUUACAAACGUAUUUAAAAUAUUUUUGUACGUUUUUGUAAUUAUUCAGUGUUUAUUAGAUGUGGUCAUUUUUAUGGUUCGCGUCUAUAAUUUCUCAUCUAUUGACCUCAAAUCAGGUAAGAAUACCCGCUGAACUUAA
rnacentral:misc_RNA from 1 species